GAGAGAGAGAGAGAGAGAGAGCUGUGAAUCUAACUUGCUAUUAUGCCUUGCUAUCUAUGGCCAUUGGCAUAGGGUCCUGCUUAGCUGAUGCAUUCUUGUUCAUCUUUGCAAAUAUGUUGCUAUAAAAUUGCGCAUCCUUCUUGUUGUAUUCUCUCACUUUUUCCUUCAAAAUUUUGUAUUCCAACUUCACAUCCCGAUUGUCAGGAUCAAUUUCAAGCGCUUUCUUGAUGUCUAUCUCCGCCAAGUCCAAAUCAACAAGUUGUAUAUAUGCCUGUGCCCUCCUAUACAAGGCUUUCACAUUCCUACUGUCAAGUUCCAACACCUUGGUGCACAGCUUCUCGGCCUGCUUGUAAUCUUUGAGCUUUAGCUUGCACGCUGCAUUGUUAAGUUUGCAAGUAAUUUUAAGUGCUCUAGUCUGCUGCUUCUCUUCUUCACUGAAAGAGGAGUCAUACUCAAUGAAGUUCACAGCCUUCUCGUAUCUCCUUGAGGCUCUUUCAUACUUGCCAGCUUUGAAUAGUACGUUCCCCUCUUCCUUCUUCUUCCCUGCUGCUUCAAUCUUUUCUUGUGUGUUCAUCUCCCAUGAUUCUUUUUCCUUGGUGAAAGAUAUCAUCUCAACUUCAUAGUAUACAGUUGAAUUAGCAGGAAUAGUAGCCAAUUCUUGCUGUGAUUCAAAUGAACCAAAUGCAUAUUCUGGCUGAAUUGUUAUUAAUGCAACUUCCCCUUUCUUCAUGUUCUUCACAGCUUUAUCAAGUCCAUCAAUAACUUGUUCUUCAUCUAUCUUGAACUCAAAUGGUGGCUCCUCAUCAUGACCUUUCUUCACAAAAACGGUCCCAUCAUGUAGCUUCCCAAUCAGUUUGACUUGAACAACUGUUCCAUCAUUUGGUCGUUCAUAUCCUUCCCCUUCCUUCAGGGUCUUCCUCAAAACCUUCUUGUCCUUGGUAACAUCAGUGACAGUCUUCCAAGAAACUAACUCAAGCAUGAUCUCAAGAGUUGCAUUUGGAGGAACAACACCUUCAUCACUAAGUGCCUGCCUGCCAUUCUCUCCAAAUCCAUAUUGUGGCUUCACUGUCAAUAGGACUUUCUCUCCCUUUUUCAUUGUUUUCACAGCUUUUGCCAAGGCAGGACAGAAAUAGCCAUCUCCUACAGUGAACUCAACACCAUCAGACUUUGAGAUAACCGUUCCGUCUUCAAGCCGAGCUUCAUACUUAACGAGUACUUCAUCAAGGUCUUUGGGAUUGUCCCAUUUCUCGCCUUCCACAAGUACUUUCUUGACAAUUCCCCCGUCUUUACAGAUGUCUUUAACGCUCGUCCAAGACAGCAACUCCACAUCGAAUUGAAGAGUUGCUCUAGGAGGAAUAGUUGGAGGAGAUCCAGCCUCACCAUAUGCCAAUUCUGGAGGUAUUGUGAAAAUGGCAUUCUCACCCUUCUUCAUAGUCUUGAUGCCCUCAUCCCACCCCUUGAUUACUUGACCUCGACCAAGUUUGAACUUGAAUGGUGUCCCUCUUUCACGACUUGAAUCGAACUGGGUUCCGUCAAGCAAAGUCCCAGUGUAGUGCACUAUGGAUCGGGGCAAAAGAAAAUGAAUGUGUAGAAAAGAAAUCAAUUCCAUAGCCUCAUUACCACACAUAACCAAACCAACAAACCGAUAUAACCAAGGAUCACGAGUAAAUUAAUCAGGAACAGUAACAAAAAUGACAAUGUCUAAUGAUGACUAUCAUAUCUACCUUCAACUUCAUCACCAGAACUGGGAGUCUCCCAUCCUUCACCCUCUUUGACGAGCUUCUUCUUAAGUCCAUUCUUGCCAAUCUCUUUCUCUUCACCAACCUUGAUAAUGUCCAUGUUAUCAACCUCCUCAUUCGCAGCAGUUGGGAACUCAAAAUCGCCAUCCAUUUCUCAAAUUCAGGUGAAUCAAAAAAACAAGCGUUCGCGGAUUUUUGGGUUUCUGAGAUUGAUGGUGAAAAAAGCUAAUGUAGAAGACUGAUUUCUGGUUAUCCAGAGGGCG
rnacentral:misc_RNA from 1 species